GACAGAGGUCCCGAGCGUUAGGCGGAAUCACUGGGCUUAAAGCGUGUGUAGGCGGACUUCUAAGUACCUUGUGAAAUCCCUCGGCUUAACCGGGGAACUGCGUCUGAUACUGGAUGGCUUGAGGUUGGGAGAGGGAUGCGGAAUUCCAGGUGUAGCGGUGAAAUGCGUAGAUAUCUGGAGGAACACCGGUGGCGAAGGCGGCAUCCUGGACCAAUUCUGACGCUGAGGAGCGAAAGCCAGGGGAGCAAACGGG
rnacentral:rRNA from 1 species